UUCGCUUUGCUGAGCCUCCAUGCUUCCCCUGCAGGAGUAAAAGUUUGUGUACUGUAAAAACAUGCAGAGUGUUCUACUUUUUAUCAUAUCUAAACAUGUUGUUGCAAACUCCUGCAUACUUUGAACCGCAGUCAUACUUUGUUUCAUAACCUCCAAGUUUCAGGAGAUAUUCAUCAUCAGCUAUUAUUCAACAUCUAGUAAAUGAUUGUAGAAUUUAGACUCCUUUGAACAAACCUACAAUCCUUUUCUUUCUUUGUAGGUCACAAUGGCCUUAUUGCUUCAGCAUAUCUGCAGAAGGGAGGCCUGAAAACAGCAGUCCUGGAACGCAGACAUGUACUUGGAGGAGCAGCCGUAUCUGAAGAGCUUAUUCCAGGGUUCCACUUUUCCAGGGCCUCCUAUCUGCUCAGUUUA